AGUGAACGCUGGCGGUAGGCCUAACACAUGCAAGUCGAACGGCAGCACAGUAAGAGCUUGCUCUUACGGGUGGCGAGUGGCGGACGGGUGAGGAAUACAUCGGAAUCUACUUUUUCGUGGGGGAUAACGUAGGGAAACUUACGCUAAUACCGCAUACGACCUACGGGUGAAAGCAGGGGAUCUUCGGACCUUGCGCGAUUGAAUGAGCCGAUGUCGGAUUAGCUAGUUGGCGGGGUAAAGGCCCACCAAGGCGACGAUCCGUAGCUGGCCUGAGAGGAUGAUCAGCCACACUGGAACUGAGACACGGUCCAGACUCCUACGGGAGGCAGCAGUGGGGAAUAUUGGACAAUGGGCGCAAGCCUGAUCCAGCCAUACCGCGUGGGUGAAGAAGGCCUUCGGGUUGUAAAGCCCUUUUGUUGGGUAAGAAAAGCAGCAGGUUAAUACCCCGCUGUUCUGACGGUACCCAAAGAAUAAGCACCGGCUAACUUCGUG
rnacentral:rRNA from 1 species